UUUGUAGUAGCAAGGGGUGAGUACCAAACCACACGGUACUCAGCAAGUAAACCUCUAAACACAAGCUAAGGGGAUGAAAUACGGGUACUCCUACCACCCCCAACCGAACCUCCACAACUACAACCUGCAGUAAAUUCAACCCAACCUAACAGCUCACAGUUUACAUAGCACGUAGCUCAACAACAACACUUAGACAAAUUACAUAUCCUCAACAUCAACACUUUAACAAAUUACAUAUCCUCAACAACAAUACUUCAACAAAUUAUAUAUCCGCAAUAACAAGCUCAAUAUUGAUCAAUCACAAGUUCCGCAGAAAGGCAAUCAGAAGACCAGCAAAACACGAUAUCAAGUUCACUAAUGAUAAGUAUGUGCAAUGCAAUGGAAUGGAAUGUCAAGUAUAAUGAUGCAUGUUUGACCUAAUGAUACACACCCGCUGUCUCUCAGUCCGGGACCCAUGGGGGACAUAUUUGUCCAUGCAUCUGUCGCGGCGCACGACACGACCCUCGAUAAUAGUAACCAUCGCGGCGCGCGAUACGUCCCUCGAAAUAUAGUAUCCAUCACGGCGCGCGAUACGUCCCUCGUAAUAUAGUAUCCAUCGCGGCGCGCGAUACGUCCCUCGAAAUGGUACAUUCUCUUUUCUCAUUCUUUUUCAAUGCACAUAACACUUUUCACAACCAUGUGUCAAAAUAAUGCAAAUGACUUGUUCACAGAAAUAAAGAGUAUAUCACCAUUUUCAUAACAUUGCACAAUUUACAACAUCAACAAUGAUUCAACAAGCCUUUCAAAUCAUUCGAUAUUAUCAACACAUCACACACAACCCAUUAUUGACAUUGCCUUUUAUUACCAUUUGUUUUCAUCAUUAGAAUUAAUCAAUGUGAAAGUCAACCCAUCACCCAGUCUCAUUACUCCCAAACAUAUAUAACAUAUACCACAAGGAAAUACACGCAUUCCAUAUACUUAACAAGAGUUUAGAAAUUCACUUGCCUCAAUUUAUCGAACAAUCACUCUGGGACUUGAGCCUUUCCUUUCUGUUGACCUUCCAAAUCGAUGCAAUCUAUUCAAGUAUAUAUUCAUAAUAAGGUUUCGAAACUAACAACACCCACAUUACUACAGGUUAAGCCUAGACUCAAAAGAUCACCCAAUCUAUAAAGUAUAUAUACAUAUAUAAUAAGGUGUAAGUUAAUAAGCCCACAAAAGCUCCAAUUAUUCUAUUUCUAACCUCUACCCAUCAUUAAUGCACCUAAUUCUAUAAUUAAUUCCUUAAAGUUCAAACCUAAGCGAAAAUCUUAAUUCUUCCAAUUAGCGCAACUUAAAUAAAAUUUAAGUAAUUCAAUAUAUCUAAUAUUUAGUUACCUAUCUCGAUAUAUCAAAACUUAGUAUAUAAUAAGAUAACAACAUUAUUAUGUUUAAAAUCGAAACCACUGGUUAUGAAACCAGUGGCAGCAACAGAGAGCACCUCACACCAUUCAUGACUCAUCAUUAUGCCUAAAAUACUUACCUUUUUCAUAUAAUAAAAUAAUUUUCCACCAUUUUUUUAUCCAUUAAUAUAGUCAUUAAUCAUCAACUAUAAUUUAAAAAAAAAAACAAUAUGCAAUACCAUGUUGCUGAAGCAACAUCGUUCCACAACAAUUUUAACAAUAAAAAAAUGAUGAGGUGAAUUAAGCUUAUCAUUAUUCGAUAAUAAAACUCGACAAACAAUCUUAUCAUGACUUCCGCACUGCAAAAACAUUCCUACCUUUCUUGCUCUAAUUCAAACCCCUAAUAAAAUAUAAUGAUUUUCUACUUUCCAUUGAUUAACUAUAUUGCCCCUAAUAAUGUCUCCACUAAUUAAUUAAGAAGCCUAGAUUUGCAAUCCUUCUGUAAUUGCCUCAUAUAAUUGAUUAACAACUAACUAUUUUAUCCCCUUUUUCCCACUAAUAUGAAUAAUGACAUACUACUAAUUGAAGUACUACAUACCAUCAAAGUACACCAAAAAAAUAAUGAAACAGUCGCAUAGUUUACUUGAAGCUGCCCGUGAUUUUUCUUCGUUCAAACGCCGCUUUGUGUUAUUCCCUUCCUUUCUUAUUUUCUACAAAAUUAUUCUCUACCCUAAUCUAAUAUACUACUUAUAAGAGUUAUAAAAGUGGUCCACUAUCAAUUUUAAAGUUAUUUUCUUUAACCACCAACUAACUUAAUUAUAAAACUACCCCACUAAUUUCAUAAUUAUAAUUAUGAAUACUCCAAAACACCCAUUUAAAUCUAUAGGAAAGUAUUUUCUGACAUAAAAUGUUCUAGUGCUCAAAACGACUACACGGGUUGUU
rnacentral:lncRNA from 1 species